GGCGGAGUAGCGCAGUUGGUAGCGCCCUGGCUUCCCAUGCCAAAGGUCGCGGGAUCGAUCCCCGCGUCCUCCA